UGGGGAAUAUUGGACAAUGGGGGCAACCCUGAUCCAGCAAUGCCGCGUGAGUGAUGAAGGCCUUCGGGUUGUAAAGCUCUUUUGCCAGGGACGAUGAUGACGGUACCUGGAGAAUAAGUCCCGGCUAACUUCGUGCCAGCAGCCGCGGUAAUACGAAGGGGGCAAGCGUUGUUCGGAAUUACUGGGCGUAAAGGGCGCGUAGGCGGCCACCGCAAGUCGACUGUGAAAUCUCCGGGCUUAACCCGGAAAGGUCAGCCGAUACUGCGGGGCUAGAGUGCAGAAGGGGCAACUGGAAUUCUCGGUGUAGCGGUGAAAUGCGUAGAUAUCGAGAGGAACACCUGCGGCGAAGGCGGGUUGCUGGGCUGACACUGACGCUGAUGCGCGAAAGCUAGGGGAGCGAAC
rnacentral:rRNA from 1 species